rnacentral:lncRNA from 1 species
GGGUCCGUGGAAGAUCUCUGAAAUGAAGGUUAUCCUGAAGAAACGCCCGAACCUUUCUUGAGAACGAGCAUUGAAGUAACAGGUGAUCAGCUGACGUCUCUGUACUUGAGUCGCAUAAAGAGUAGCUAUUUUUACCCUGCCAACCUCGUUUGACUAGGUUAGUUUUUGUCAGAAUUUUGUCUAAAAAACUAGAUAAAGGAAAUACUUGACCUUUUGUUGGAUUUUUAUUUUCCAUAUAUUUUGCUGAAUCGGGGUCGCAUGC